AGCGAACGCUGGCGGCGUACUUAACACAUGCAAGUCGAACGAGGAUCGCUACGUGAGCAAUCAUGCGGCGGUUCUAGUGGCGUACGGGUGAGUAACACGUGGGCAACCUGCCCUGGAGCCUGGGAUACCCUCUCGAAAGGGAGGCUAAUACCGGAUACGUUCCCCGGUCGCGAGAUCUGGGGAGGAAAGGUGGCGCAAGCUGCCGCUCUUGGAGGGGCUCGCGGCCUANCAGCUAGUUGGUGAGGUAAUGGCUCACCAAGGCUAUGACGGGUAGCUGGUCUGAGAGGACGACCAGCCACACGGGGACUGAGACACGG
rnacentral:rRNA from 1 species